GGGGAUUUAGCUCAGUGGUAGAGCACUUGUCUAGCAAGCAGAAGGUCCUGGGUUCGGUCCUCAGCUCUG
rnacentral:tRNA from 1 species